GGGGGAAAGCUUGCUUUCCUGCCGGCGAGUGGCGAACGGGUGAGUAAUACAUCGGAACGUGCCCUGUAGUGGGGGAUAACUAGUCGAAAGAUUAGCUAAUACCGCAUACGACCUGAGGGUGAAAGUGGGGGACCGCAAGGCCUCAUGCUAUAGGAGCGGCCGAUGUCUGAUUAGCUAGUUGGUGGGGUAAAGGCCUACCAAGGCGACGAUCAGUAGCUGGUCUGAGAGGACGAUCAGCCACACUGGGACUGAGACACGGCCCAGACUCCUACGGGAGGCAGCAGUGGGGAAUUUUGGACAAUGGGCGAAAGCCUGAUCCAGCAAUGCCGCGUGUGUGAAGAAGGCCUUCGGGUUGUAAAGCACUUUUGUCCGGAAAGAAAUGGCUCUGGUUAAUACCCGGAGUCGAUGACGGUACCGGAAGAAUAAGGACCGGCUAACUACGUGCCAGCAGCCGCGGUAAUACGUAGGGUCCAAGCGUUAAUCGGAAUUACUGGGCGUAAAGCGUGCGCAGGCGGUUGUGCAAGACCGAUGUGAAAUCCCCGGGCUUAACCUGGGAAUUGCAUUGGUGACUGCACGGCUAGAGUGUGUCAGAGGGAGGUAGAAUUCCACGUGUAGCAGUGAAAUGCGUAGAGAUGUGGAGGAAUACCGAUGGCGAAGGCAGCCUCCUGGGAUAACACUGACGCUCAUGCACGAAAGCGUGGGGAGCAAACAGGAUUAGAUACCCUGGUAGUCCACGCCCUAAACGAUGUCAACUAGUUGUUGGGGAUUCAUUUCCUUAGUAACGUAGCUAACGCGUGAAG
rnacentral:rRNA from 1 species